AGCUCUACCUAUUACUGAUACCCUUCUCAACUGUUUUGUCUUUGGUUCCAGCAUCAGAGGGAUUGAAGUUCUUCCCAACCUCACUGUAUUAAACCUCAGUUAUAAUGCACUCCGAGACCUGAGAAGUUUAGAAAACUGCAUCCACCUGUCUGUGCUGAAUAUGUCUCACAAUCAAGUGAGAGCCCUGGGGGACAUGCCACUCCUGAGCAAACUGACGCGGCUUCACUUGGGUUCCAACAAGCUGAGGUCUCUGGAAGGCAUUCAGAAUUUGCCCCAGCUCUGUGAACUCUAUGUCCAGAAGAACCGGAUUUCCAGCUUGCUGCCUCUCUCUUCCUCGCUGGCUCUCAACGUAUUGGAUGCUGCCAGCAAUGACAUCGGCUCCCUGCCGCAGGCCCUGCAUGUGCUUGGAGGACUCCGCAGGCUGAGACAUCUCAAACUCCAGGGCAACCCGCUGGCCCGGGAUAGCCACUACGUCACUGCAAUCAAACAGGCCACUUCUGUGGAGACCCUGGACGAUGUGCUUCUCAGGGACCCACCUCGCUGCUCAGCCUUGUCUUUGUUCAGCUGGUCUCUUCUCAGAGAAGCAGCGGCCGGUUCAAUGGACUCAGGUCAGACCAAGGAGGAUCUGAAAAAAUCAGCUAGGAGGAUCUUCCUGGAGAGACUGCAGCAUAAGACAGAGAGCACUGAGUGUCGCUGUACAUCACUUGCACCGCAGAAUGCUGGACCUGCGGGAAGAGCUGAGAGAAUACGAAGAAACCUUCAGAACAGAAGUGGAUGGCUGCAUAAGGUACAUUGA
rnacentral:lncRNA from 1 species